GACGAACGCUGGCGGCGUGCUUAACACAUGCAAGUCGAACGGAAAGGCCUGCUUUCCCUUGUGGAUUGCGGGUACUCGAGUGGCGAACGGGUGAGUAACACGUGAGUGAUCUGCCCCCAACUUGGGUAUAAGCCUGGGAAACUGGGUCUAAUUCCCGAUAGGACUGCAGGGUGGUGCCUGUGGUGGAAAACGAUUUUCUAGUGGUUGGGGAUGAGCUCGCGGCCUAUCAGCUUGUUGGUGGGGUAAUGGCCUACCAAGGCGGCGACGGGUAGCCGGCCGGAGAGCGUGGACCGUCGCAUUGGGACUGAGACACGGCCCCGACGCCUGCGGGAGGCAGCAGUUGUUAAUAUUGCACAAUGGGCGUAAGCCUGAUGCAGCGACGCCGCGUGGGGGAUGACGGCCUUCGGGUUGUAAACUCCUUUCGACCGCGAGGAAGCCACCUGGUUGGAAGGGUGGUGACGGUAGUGGUAGAAGAAGCACCGGCUAACUACGUG
rnacentral:rRNA from 1 species